ACGAACGCUGGCGGCAUGCCUCACACAUGCCAGUCGAACGAGACCUUCGGGUCUAGUGGCGCACGGGUGCGUAACGCGUGGGAACCUGCCCUUAGGUUCGGAAUAACUCCCCGAAAGGGGUGCUAAUACCGGAUAAUGUCUUCGGACCAAAGAUUUAUCGCCUUUGGAUGGGCCCGCGUUGGAUUAGCUAGUUGGUAGGGUAAAAGCCUACCAAGGCGACGAUCCAUAGCUGGUCUGAGAGGAUGAUCAGCCACACUGGGACUGAGACACGGCCCAGACUCCUACGGGAGGCAGCAGUGGGGAAUAUUGGACAAUGGGCGAAAGCCUGAUCCAGCAAUGCCGCGUGAGUGAUGAAGGCCUUAGGGUUGUAAAGCUCUUUUACCCGGGAUGAUAAUGACAGUACCGGGAGAAUAAGCUCCGGCUAACUCCGUG
rnacentral:rRNA from 1 species